rnacentral:rRNA from 1 species
UACAGAGGGGGCGAGCGUUAUUCGGAAUUAUUGGGCGUAAAGGGCGCGUAGGCGGCCUUUCAAGUGACGGGUGAAAUCCCUCGGCUUAACCGAGGAACUGCCUGUCAGACUGGAAGGCUUGAGACCGGGAGAGGUGAGUGGAACUCCGAGUGUAGAGGUGAAAUUCGUAGAUAUUCGGAAGAACACCAGUGGCGAAAGCGACUUCCUGGACCAAUACUGACGCUCAUGUGCGAAAGCGUGGGGAGCAAACAGG